UUGGAGGGCAAGUCUGGUGCCAGCAGCCGCGGUAAUUCCAGCUCCAAUAGCGUAUAUUAAAGUUGUUGCAGUUAAAAAGCUCGUAGUUGAAUUUCGGGGUUCUACCGUUGGUCGGGCUUUGUCUGUACUGGUGUGUAGAAUUUCUACCUUCUGGGGAACCAUCAUGCUAUUAAUUUAGCGUGGUGGGAUUACAGGACCUUUACCUUGAAAAAAUUAGUGUGUUCAAAGCAGGCUUAUGUCUGAAUACAUUAGCGUGGAAUAAUAGAAUAGGACGGUGGUCCUGUCUUGUUGGUUUCUGAAUCACCGUAAUGAUUAAUAGGGAUAGUUGGGGGCAUUAGUAUUCAAUUGUCAGAGGUGAAAUUCUUGGAUUUAUUGAAGACUAACUUCUGCGAAAGCAUUUGCCAAGGAUGUUUUCAUUAAUCAAGAACGAAAGUUAGGGGAUCGAAGACGAUCAGAUACCGUCGUAGUCUUAACCAUAAACUAUGCCGACUAGGGAUCGGACGAUGUUAAUUUUUCUUGACUCGUUCGGCGCCUUACGGGAAAC
rnacentral:rRNA from 1 species